rnacentral:rRNA from 1 species
GAUGAACGCUGGCGGCGUGCCUAAUACAUGCAAGUCGAACGAACAGACGAGGAGCUUGCUGCGCGGACGUUAGCGGCGGACGUGUGAGUAACACGUGUAUAACCUACCUAUAAGACGGGUAUAACUUCGGGAAACCGGAGCUAAUAGCGUAGAAUAUAUUGAACCGCAUGGGUGAAUGGUUAGAUACGGUGUUGGUGUCAGUUAUAGAUGGAUACGCGCCGAUUGAGGUAGUUGUGAAGGUAAAGGCUUACCAAGGCAACGAUGCGUAGGCGACGUGAGAGGGUGAUCGGCCACCCUGGAACUGAGACACCGUCCAUACUCCUACGGGAGGCAGCAGUCGGGAACCUUACGCAAUGGUCGAAAGCCUGACGGAGCAACGCCGAGUGAGUGAUGACGGCCUCCGGAUCGUAAAAAUCUGUUAUUAGGGAUGAACCACUUUGUAAGUAACUAUGCACGUCUUGACGGUAACUAAUAAGAAAGCAACGGCUAACUACGUG